UGAAGUUACCUAUACUACAUUUCAGCGAACAAUGUAGUUAUACAUACAGUAUAUACAUAUAUAUGUAUGUCGUAUAGGCACCGGCCGACAAAAAAAAAUAAAAAAAAAAAAUAACCUCUCGAUUCGCUGCGACCGAGACUUUGGAAUCCGCGCACAAUGUGGAUUUGGGUUGAUCGGUUUUUUUGAUUUUUUUUUUUUUUUUGUCUGAUUUUUUUAUGGCCUUCGUACGAAACACAACGGCUAAAGUUCAACUGAGUGUUUCGCGAAUAAAAUAUGCGUUACACUAUUAUACGGAACGACUAAUGGUUUAUGUAUUAAAAUAGUAAUAACAUAAUAUA